rnacentral:rRNA from 1 species
UACGAAGGGGGCUAGCGUUGCUCGGAAUGACUGGGCGUAAAGGGCGCGUAGGCGGUUUGGUUCGUUAGGCGUGAAAUUCCUGGGCUCAACCUGGGGACUGCGUUUAAUACAGCCAGACUUGAGUGUGGAAGAGGGUCGUGGAAUUCCCAGUGUAGAGGUGAAAUUCGUAGAUAUCGGGAAGAACACCGGUGGCGAAGGCGGCGACCUGGUCCAUUACUGACGCUGAGGCGCGAAAGCGUGGGGAGCAAACAGG